rnacentral:lncRNA from 1 species
GGGUCCACAAUUUCCUUUUUCAAUAUUGAAAUUAAUUCUCUUUUGUAUUUUUUUAUUAUUUUUAUUUUUUAUUUUUAUGAGAUACAUUGACUUUACAAAGAUGAUUGUAAUUAAUAUUUAUUAGGAUUGAAUUUCUUUUAGUUAGUUUUUAUUUCCUUUUGUUGGUAUUCUUUAUUUAUUGGAAAUCUUCCUAUACCCAUGAAAUCUCGUUAUGAUUGAGAUUUUU